UACGAAGGGGGCUAGCGUUGUUCGGAAUUACCGGGCGUAAAGCGCGCGCAGGCGGUCUUCCAAGUCAGUGGUGAAAGCCUGGAGCUCAACUCCAGAACUGCCAUUGAAACUGUUAGACUUGAGUACGAGAGAGGUGAGUGGAAUUCCCAGUGUAGAGGUGAAAUUCGUAGAUAUUGGGAAGAACACCAGUGGCGAAGGCGGCUCACUGGCUCGUAACUGACGCUCAGGCGCGACAGCGUGGGGAGCAAACAGG
rnacentral:rRNA from 1 species